AUGACUUGCCCAGUUUGUCACAGUGGACAUAGACUGGUUACAGAUGGUGCCAGCGUGCCUUGCUUCCCAGUGUGCGUUCCUGCUGGAGUGUUUCUAAAGAAGGAAAAGGGUAUGGUGAUAUUAACUACCGUAAAAUCUGUGUGUGACCUUAGCGCUAUAAGUAAUGGCUACUAUCUCAAAAUAUGUAUUUAUUGAAUAUGUUUAGAUAUUUAGUAUUUUACUUGCUGUUAGACUUGUAAUAGCAGUCUAACAGAUAAAACUUUAGUGGGGCAGAUUCAGCUGCCUGACCUUCAACCACGGGGCCAAAACCAGGAUGUAGAAGAUAGCUUCUUUAAGUGGUGAUGGGAAGAAAAUGGUGAUGGGAAACCAGUUAUUCUUUGCAGCAAAAUGAAUUUAAACCCCUAUUGCUCACUCUGUCCUUUAACAAAAAAGCAGUGAGUAAAACUCUUGAACAAAUAAGCACAGGCAAGGACUUUCUGAACAGAAUCCCAAUUGCACAAGAAAUAACACCAAGAAUCAAUAAAAUGGGCUUAUGUCAAGUUAAAAAGUUUGUGCCCAGCAAAGGAGACAGCCUACACAAUAGGAAAAAUUUUUUUGCCAGCUACUCCUGAGACAGAGGAUUAAUAUCUAGAGUAUAUUUUUAAAAACUUUUAAAGACCCCCUAAAAUAAAAGACCCAGUCAAAAAAUGCACAAGUGAAAGAAUAAACACAUCUUAAAAGAACAAGUGGCCAGUAAGUACAUGACAAAUGGUCAGCAUGCUUGGCCCUAAAAGAAAUUGCAAAUCAAAACAGCACUGAAAAAAAAAACAACAUUGAGAAUCCAUCUUAUUCUAGAAAAAAUGGCUGUUAAGAACUCAAGCAGUAAAUUCUGGUGAAGUUGUGGGGGAAAAGGUUUCUUUUCCCCUUCUACAUUGUUGGUGGGAAUAUAAACUAGUACUACCACUGUGGAAGUCAGUAUGAGAUUCCUCAAAAGCUAAAAGUAGAAAUCCCAUUCAUCCCACCUAUACUUCCUCUGGGCAUCUUCCCAGAGGAUUCAGAAGACGUCAUAUUACAGUGGUGCACACAUGCACAUGUUUACAGCAGCACAGCUGACAUGGCUAAAUCUUGGAAGUGGCCUGUCUGCCCAUCAAUAAAUGCGUGGGUAAAGAAAAUGUAGAAAGAAGAUAUAUAUGAUAGAGUACUGCUCAGCCAUAAAGAAGGAUACUUUUGAGUCAUUUGUAGGAAAAUGGAUGACCCUGAAGACCAUGAUGCUAUGUGAAAUAAAUUGGACACAAAAGGUCUCAUACUUUCUCUUACAUGAGAAACCCAAAGUGUAAGUAAUUUAAGAG
rnacentral:lncRNA from 1 species